ACUCCUACGGGAGGCAGCAGUGGGGAAUAUUGGACAAUGGGCGAAAGCCUGAUCCAGCCAUGCCGCGUGUGUGAAGAAGGUCUUCGGAUUGUAAAGCACUUUAAGUUGGGAGGAACGGCAGUUACCUAAUACGUGAUUGUUUUGACGUUACCGACAGAAUAAGCACCGGCUAACUCUGUGCCAGCAGCCGCGGUAAUACAGAGGGUGCAAGCGUUAAUCGGAAUUACUGGGCGUAAAGCGCGCGUAGGUGGUUAGUUAAGUUGGAUGUGAAAUCCCCGGGGCUCAACCUGGGAACUGCAUUCAAAACUGACUGACUAGAGUAUGGUAGAGGGUGGUGGAAUUUCCUGUGUAGCGGUGAAAUGCGUAGAUAUAGGAAGGAACACCAGUGGCGAAGGCGACCACCUGGACUGAUACUGACACUGAGGUGCGAAAGCGUGGGGAGCAAACAGGAUUAGAUA
rnacentral:rRNA from 1 species